UACGUAGGCAGCGAGCGUUGUUCGGAGUUACUGGGCGUAAAGAGUGCGUAGGCGGUUUUCUAAGUUUGGUGUGAAAUCUCCCGGCUCAACUGGGAGGGUGCGCCGAAGACUGGAAGGCUUGAGUAUGGGAGAGGUAAGUGGAAUUCCUGGUGUAGCGGUGAAAUGCGUAGAUAUCAGGAGGAACACCUGCGGUGUAGACGGCUUACUGGACCAUAACUGACGCUGAGGCACGAAAGCGUGGGUAGCAAACAGG
rnacentral:rRNA from 1 species